ACGUAUUUCGGUCUAGAUUGAUCUCGCUAUAAAAUAGUUGACGAACUUUAGAUUGAA
rnacentral:sRNA from 1 species